rnacentral:lncRNA from 1 species
UUCAGCUCUGAAAAGUGAUUAUUGUUCAAGCCUCCAGUAGGUCUGCUGACAGCCAUGGCAUCAAUUUCCACAGGGGAAAGGUAAACCUGCAGUUGUCCUGUGUGAGAAACAUGAAUUCCAGUGCAGGUGUUAAGGUGCAGAUUCUUAAGUGACACAGCCCAAAACUCUGAGGCCAAAUCACUUUUAGGCAUGGGAAGGGGCAAAAUGUUAGAAGGAAAAUUUCAACAUGAUUGACUCAACUGUGCAAGAAAACCAGAAAGUUAACUUAAUGAUUAACUUCCCAUUGAAGUUGGAG